CGGGCCGCGAAUUCGCCCUUGAGUUUGAUCCUGGCUUCAGGACGAACGCUGGCGGCACGCCUAACACAUGCAAGUCGAACGGAGAUAUUUUGGUUUACUGAGAUAUCUUAGUGGCGGACGGGUGAGUAACACGUGAGCAACCUGCCUCUGAGAGAGGGAUAGCUUCUGGAAACGGAUGGUAAUACCUCAUAACAUAACGAAGCCGCAUGACUUUGUUAUCAAAGAUUUAUCACUCRGAGAUGGGCUCGCGUCUGAUUAGAUAGUUGGUGAGGUAACGGCUCACCAAGUCGACGAUCAGUAGCCKGACUGAGAU
rnacentral:rRNA from 1 species